rnacentral:lncRNA from 1 species
UGAAUUCAUGGUUUUAUGGCCUUAAUCAUCUAACAGAUACAAUACAAACCUAUUUGACUAACAAACCCAGAAGUAACAUGGCCAGGCGCAGUGGCACACACCUGUAAUUCCAACACAGUGGGAGGAUCUCUUGAGGCCAAGAGUGCAAGACCAGCCUGGGCAACAUAGUCAGUGGCCCAGAGAAUGCUUUUGAUGAACAGAUGAUGAGUGACAAUGCAAGAUGAACUGUGACAAGGAUCCUGUGGGUUGUCAAAUGAGUUAAGAGGAAGGAAAAAUUCCUUUGGGCUGCUGAGGCCAAGACAAGCUUCAUUUCAAGCUUAGUCCUGAAGAUGAGUGGGAUUAAGAUAAAAAAUAAAGAAUGGAAAUGAGCAUGAACAAAAACGUGAUGGUGAAAGCAUACUUGCUAUUUUCAAAAGCCAGGAGCAGUGCUAUCAGAGGCAGGCAAACAGGCCUGGAAAAGAAGGUGCCAAGACAAGGAUAUCUUCGAAAUACAGGCUUGAGCAUUUAAUCUAAAGCCAGAAAAAAACAUUGGCUUCAACUGUCCAUCAAACUCUAUUAAAUAUAAAAAAGUUUCCUAAAUAUAUUAUUUUUCCCUGUUAGAAUUCAUUGUCUCUACUGAUUUCAAAAUCAGCAAUAUUUAUUGUAAAAAAGAAACAAAAAAUAGUUGUUAAAAUCUAUUUCUAUAAAAACUACUGCUACUGGUUUCUCCCUAAAUGCCUGGCAGUGAGCAAAGAAAGAUACUGUUAACAUUUAGUAGCCGCUGCGGUCACCUUGGCAUAAUCGAGUGAACACAGACUUUAAUGGCAGUUUAAUUAGAUUUACCACGGGGAAGAUGUCACACAGGAGAUGCAAUGCUUCUGUAUUUAGAAACCUAUAUGAU